rnacentral:rRNA from 1 species
GACGAACGCUGGCGGCGUGCCUAAUACAUGCAAGUCGAGCGAACGGACGAGAAGUUUGCGCGCCUGAUGUUAGCGGCGGACGGGUGAGUAACACAUGGACAACCUACCUAUACGAAUGGGAUACUUUCGGGAAACCGGAGCUAAUACCGGAAAAUAUUUUGAACCGCAUGGUUCCAAAGUGAAAUAAGGUCUUGCUGACACUUAUAGAUGGAUCCGGGCUGCAUGCGCUAGUUGGUAAGGUAACGGCUUACCAACGCAACGAUGGAUAGCCGACCUGAGAGGGUGAUCUGCCACACUGGAAGUGAGGCACGGUCGAGACUCCUGCGGGAGGCAGCGGUAGGGAAUCUUCCGCAAUGGGCGAAAGCCGGACAUAGCAACGCCGCGUGAGUGAUGAAGGACUACGGAUCGGAAAGCUCUGUUGUUAGGAGAGAACAAAUGUUUAAGUAACUGGGCACAUCAUGACGGUACCGAAAGAAAAAGCCACGGCUAACUACGUG